GGGGGCAGAGGCUGGCGCCAGCCGGCCUUGCUGGGAGCCGGGUGUGUGUGCGCGCGGCGGGCGGAGGGGCCCGGGCCCGGGGCAUGGAGAGCCUGCUGGAGAACCCGGUGCGCGCCGUGCUCUACCUGAAGGAGCUCACCGCCAUCGUGCAGAACCAGCAGAGCCUCAUCCACACCCAGCGCCAGCGCAUCGACGAGCUGGAGCGGCGCCUGGACGAGCUCAGCACCGAGAACCGCAGCCUCCGCCAGCAGCACCCGGCUCCCGCCGCCGAGCCCCAGCCGCGCCCGCCGGCUCCCCCCGCGCCCGCCCCGCAGCCCGAGCCGGAGCCGCUUCAGCACCCCCAACAGCUCCCGGCGCCGCAGCCGCUCCAGAGCAGGCAGGCUCAGCCGGGCCCCAGCGGCGGCGGCAGCAGCAGCAGCAGCCGGGCUCCGGCUCACCAGCACCCCCCGCUCCAGCCCCAUCAGCACCACCCGGAGAAAGACAGCAGGGAGAGGGGCUGCUGCACCACCCUCCUCCAGCACAAACCCGCCCCGGCCAUCGGCAAAGGCGCCCUGAGCAGGAGACCAGAGAAUGAAAAUGUUUUACACCAGUUCUGCUGCCCAGCAGCUGAUGCAGAGCAGAAGCCUUCAUCUCUGGACUCCUCACCAAGUGACGAUUCCUGUGGUUCCACCAGCAAGAAACCCGGGUGUGAAACGGAGGAUCCGAAGGAGGCCGGCAGACACAGUGGCCAGGAAGGCAGGUCCGACACCCUGAUGCUAAAAGCCCAGCAUGCAGAGCGGCAGGAGGAGCAGGCAGCGGGGUGCUCCCCUCUGGUGCAGAAGCCCAGCCUCCACCACACGGGUUCCCCAGUGAGAGUGCAGCGCAGCAAAGGGACGGCCACGUGUUCCCAUGCAGCUGCCUCCGAUUAUGAGCUCUCUCUUGACUUAAAGAAUAAACAGAUCGAAAUGCUAGAGCACAAAUACGGAGGGCACCUGGUCUCUCGCAGGGCAGCCUGCACCAUCCAGACUGCCUUCCGCCAGUACCAACUCAGCAAAAACUUUGAGAAGAUCCGGAACUCCCUGCUGGAGAGCCGCAUGCCCCGCCGAAUCUCAUUAAGAAAAGUCCGGGUCCAGAACUCUGAAAGCUUCUCUGCUGAUAAAGCCCUGAUGGAAGGGUACAACUUUGUGGGCAUCCCCUUGGUGAGGUCCCCAUCUUUGCCAGUCACCAUCAGCGGGGCCCUGACUGAAUUGGAGGACUCUUUCACGGAACAGGUUCAGUCCCUGGCCAAGUCUAUUGAUGAUGCCCUCAGUACAUGGAGCCUGAAGACCAUGUGUUCCCUUCAAGAUGGCAGCUCAUACCAGAUCAGAGAAACCUUCAGUGCCAGCUCAAUGCAGCCGAACCAGGACUUGGAAGCUGAACUGAGGGAGCAAGAGAAGGAGGAGGGACUGCUGCCAGAUACUUUGCCCAAGAGCAGCAGCACCCUCAUGAUGGCCUUCCGGGAUGUCACGGUCCAGAUUGACAACAAGAAUAUCUCAGUCUCAUCUUCUACCUCGGUGUCCAUGGCGAACUGUCUUGGCAGCAGUGCCCAGGCUGGGCUCUCUCAAGCUGCCAGAAUUGAAGAAAGCCCAGGGGAUGGGGAAAAGGAAGACAAAAAGGCCCAGGCUGCCCUGGAAGGGCUGCCGGACUCCAGGGUCCUCCAGAACAGUCAUACCUUCACCGAGGUGAACGUUAACACCAAUGGUUUGGGGGGAGGGGUGAUGGAGCAAGGACAAAUGGUGGUGCAGAAACUCCAGUUUGACUCAAACAAUGAGACUGGGCAGGGCAAGGGCUCUGAGUCUGAAAAUGCAGACAACUCAGAGCAGCUGAGCAGCAGCAGCACCUCCACGUCAGCCAAGUCGGCAUCUGAGGUAUCUUCUAAGGAAGCGCUGCAGGCCAUGAUUCUGAGCCUCCCACGGUACCACUGUGAGAAUCCAGCCAGCUGCAAAUCUCCCACGCUUUCCACAGACACCAUGAGGAAGCGGCUCUACCGCAUUGGGCUGAACCUCUUUAACAUAAAUCCAGACAAAGGGAUCCAGUUCCUGAUCUCUCGGGGCUUCAUCCCGGACACGCCCAUUGGGGUGGCACAUUUCCUGCUCCAGCGCAAGGGCCUCAGCCGCCAGAUGAUCGGGGAGUUCCUGGGCAACAGCAAGAAACAGUUCAACAGGGACGUCCUGGACUGUGUGGUGGACGAGAUGGACUUCUCAGGCAUGGAGCUGGAUGAAGCUUUGCGGAAAUUCCAGGCCCACAUCCGUGUGCAGGGAGAGGCUCAGAAGGUGGAACGGCUAAUUGAGGCCUUCAGCCAGCGGUACUGUAUGUGUAACCCGGACGUGGUCCAGCAGUUCCAUAACCCGGACACCAUUUUCAUCCUGGCCUUCGCGAUCAUCCUCCUCAACACGGACAUGUACAGCCCCAACAUCAAACCCGACAGGAAGAUGAUGCUGGAGGACUUCAUCCGGAACCUGAGAGGGGUGGACGACGGCGCUGACAUUCCCCGGGAGCUGGUAGUGGGGAUCUAUGAGAGGAUCCAACAGAAAGAGCUCAAAUCCAAUGAGGAUCAUGUAACCUAUGUCACCAAGGUGGAGAAAUCCAUCGUAGGGAUGAAAACAGUUCUGUCUGUGCCACAUCGCCGGCUGGUCUGCUGCAGCCGCCUUUACGAGGUGACGGAUGUGAAUAAAAUGCAGAAGCAGGCUGCUCAUCAGAGGGAAGUGUUCCUCUUCAAUGACCUGCUGGUGAUCCUCAAGCUUUGCCCCAAGAAGAAAAGCGCCUCAACCUACACAUUUUGCAAGUCAGUUGGCCUGUUGGGGAUGCAGUUCCAUCUUUUUGAGAAUGAAUAUUACCCCCAUGGCAUCACCCUGGUGACUCCACUUUCGGGCUCAGACAAGAAACAGGUACUACACUUCUGUGCUCUGGGUUCAGAGGAAAUGCAGAAAUUUGUGGAAGAUCUAAAAGAGUCAAUAGCAGAGGUGAUGGAGCUAGAACAGAUACGAAUUGAAUGGGAGCUGGAGAAGCAGCAGGGGGCAAAGACUCUUACGUUAAAGACCAACGGGGCUCAGAUGGAACCACAGUCCAAGCAAGCAUCUCCGACAGGCAAGAAGGAGUUGGGGGAGAAGGUCUCAGAUAGCACAGUGGAGGUGUCAAUUCACAACAGGCUUCAAACGUACCAGCACAACUCCGUCCUGGGGCCCGAGAGUGGAACGCAGGCCAGCACGCGUCCUAACAUGCCACGGGAGAGGCUGGAGACAGCAUUGGUACCCUCCUAUCCCGCCUCGGCGGGGACACUUGUACAGUGCCAGCAGAUUGUCAAAGUCAUUGUCUUGGACAAGCCGUGCCUCGCUCGUAUGGAGCCGGCCCUCAACCAGACUCUGACCCGCUACGUCUCCUCCGAUUCCUGCAGCUCCACCCCGUUGCGCAGUGCAGGCAGCGGGCUCCAAGGGACCCCAGUGAAAAUCAUCCAUCAGCCCCCACUUCCGCCUCCACCACCACCCUACAACCACCCACACCAGUACUGCCCCCCCAGUUCCCUGCUUCAUAGGCGUAGGUACUCCAGUGGAUCACGCAGUCUAGUGUAGCCACACCACCAGCACCACCAAACAGCACAGAUUUUCCCCGGGACCCUUUCUGUCUACAAAGAGAUCUAGUUUGGGAUUUAUUUUUUAGUAAAAGAGAAGAAAAACCAAGCCUGAACAGACCUAACUCCUCCCCAUCUGCCCUGAGAUGAUGGUAAUUGUGAAGAGCUCUUUAUAGAAACUGCCAGUCCUGGAGCUCACACUUCCACCUGAGCCUCCCGCCCAGCCGAUCACGCCAACUCACUCCAUGGACCCCACCAUAGUUCUUUGCCACCCUGCUCCCAGUGAGCUUGUUGAUUCUCUGCUUUGUUUGCUCUGUGUCUUCUGUUUGCUAUUUCGGCCCCUCUUUCUCCUCCUCACCCCUCUCCUCCACCUCGCCUGUCCCCUGCCACAGAUUUUAUCACACAAAACUUUGACGGGUUCUGAUGGGAACAGACUCACCUUUCAGGGCACCAACUUUGGGUAGAGCAUGGGUGGGGUGGGGUGGGGGGAGGAGCUACCGUCCCCAACACUGCUGCCGCCAUUGCUGCCUGCUAAGCUGGAGCUGAGAACUUGUGAGACUCAUCACAUGCUUCCGCCUCACAGCCCUUUGGUAUCUUCUCCUCUCACAGCAGCCAGUUCUGAGAGAGCGCGAGCAGGAGAAGGGGAGACUGUCCCAAGCUGUGGUAGAACCCAAUGAUGGCCUCACUUUGAACACCAAAAUGCUUUCUGUUGUUAAAUUGGGACACUGUACCACAAGAGCUUUGCUGAGACCCAGCAGAACUCAUCACAUGUAAAUACACCUGUGUGGUAGAGUAUGCUCGGCGCAUGCUUAGGAAAGGAAACACCAAGUUGUUCUGGGGGCACAGAAGGGAGAGAUUAGCUUUCUGGGGGGGCUGCUUUCUCAAAGAGCUAGCACGGUCUGGAUCCAGGGUGCUCGCGCACAGACAAACACACGGGUGGUCUUUUCUGGCACAAAGGAGUAUGCUCCCACACCUGGAGGACUCCCUCAGCCCCAACUGCACCCAUGUCCUCUCCAAGCUGAUUUUGUGUCUCCUUCUCACUGGAAUUUGUGCUCUUGAGAAAAAGCCAAAUGUUAAGUUCACCUUCUGGGAUGGAAAAUCCCUUCAUUUGGUCCUUUCCAUUCAGUGUUGCACGGAGGGGGAUGUUUGGAGCCAACCUUCCCGACAGCCUUGGGGACUCACGCUUUAAACACGGCCUCCUGCUUGGCUAGUCUGUUGCCCCCACUUAAAGCUCCCUUAUGGGAAUUUGGUCCUGUCCUCACACUCCCACCCUUUGCACACACUGGGAUCCCUCCCCCUCCCCCUAAGCCAACUUUCAGCGCUCCAGAGGGAGAUGACAGCUCAGCUCCUUUCGCUUAUCGGUCACACUGACAUGCAGAAAGCCGGCAUUAAAAUGGGCUAGGGCUGUAUUUUUAGAAAAAAAAUCUCCCCACGCAGCGGGGAGGAGCAGGUAUUAAUUAGCUUAAAGGCUUUGGUCUCGCUCGCUCGGCUUAAGCAGAGCAACUUUAGAAUUUGAAAAUAGGGCAGAACAAGUUUUAGGUCCUUAUUUUAGAUUUUUAAAAAGUGUGCGAGAGAGAGAGAGACGAUUUUUCCUUGCCACGUGUGGCUGAGACAUGGGAGCCCGGUGCUGGCUGGUGACACCGCAGUUUUCUUGUCGGUCACCUGGAGGUGCAGGAUUGUGGAGGACAGUGCUUGAUUCAUCAGGGAACGUAGGGUUGAGUCAGAUACAGGAGGGCUUUUUCCCCAGUUGGCUCCAUCCCCUUGAGUUCAGUGGGGCUAUUCGCAGAAGCGAAGGCUGUGAUCUGUCAGGCCCUGCAUGUCGGGCUGUCCCACAUCCUUUCACAUGUCAGUGGGCUCUGCCAGGACACUCGACUUGAAGGGCUUGUGAUCAUCCAGGGUUUGAACGGGAUCAGGAUGAAAAAGUUUCUGGAUCAGGGUCAUGAAAGCCCCACGCUGUGGGAUGUCAGCCUGACUCCCAGGCAGGGUUGCGGGGAGACACGCUGUAUUUCGCUGGGGCACCCAGGACCGUGCCUAGGUAUUGGCAAAAAGCCUGGUAACAAGCCCAGCGCUUGCUGCUCUAUCCCCACAUUUGGAACACACAUACACCCCGUUUCAGUGAGCGUCCCGUGUACACACACAUGCAGAUGCUGCUUUCUUGGCUUUGUUUUUCUGUCCGAAGCAGGAUGUAAUGCCUCCGCUUUUAUACUUAAUGCCAAAUACAGAUUAAAGGGAAACAAACAGGCACCACGCAGAGGAUGCUUAUGAUGAGCCCUCCCAGUCUGUGGGCAAGGCAGGGGCCUGGAAGCUGGUAAGGGCCCAAGAUUAGGAAGCUCUUGCUCCUGAGAAACUGCCCCCGCCCUUUAGUGGGACCAGUUUUAAGGCCCCCUCCUUUGCAGUGCUGAGCUUUCACUGCGGCCAAUGUUACAUGGCCUGACUUUCAGCUCCCCUCUCCUGCAGCGGGCUGUGAAAUGCAGACUGGUUCCCAUGCCCUCUGGCUUUGUAGUGAGGAGUAGGUGAGCCCUUCCAGACUAGCUAUAGGCAGGCUUUCGUUUGACUGGGCCUUAGCUUACUGGGAAAUCCUACAGGUGGAAUUUGCCAUCUCGCUGCCAGCUAGCAGUUAGUAGCAUUUUAUUUUUACCCACUGCUGAUGUGGAGAUGACAGUGUCUAAGCAUCUCUGGCAGUUUUCUUCCUUCUCCAGGCUUAUUCUCCCAGCCUUGAAGGAAGGCUGAUUUUUCCCAGAGUUCAUUAAGCCAGUGAAGGUUUGUGUGUGUUUAAAUAAAUUGGAUUUUAUUUGACACUUAACACAAAGUGACAACAAAACACCUUAAAGUAGUUGAUGAAAUAAUUAUUUUAGAUAAAAUAUUCAUAGCAAGGUGAAGUUCCUAGAAGAGAGAUUUGCAUUAUUAAUAAUUAAUUGGCGAAGUUAAGACAACAUAUAAAGCAGGAAGCUUUCCUGAGUCCUUCCCCCCACCCCCUUAACACUGGAUAAAGGACACCUCAGUUCAUAGGCUUUACGGUCAGAAGGGACCAUCAUGAUCAUCUAGUCUGGCCUGCGCAUCACAGGCCACAGACCCUCACCCACCCACUCCUGCACUAGGCCUGUAACCUCAGGCUGAGUUAUAGAACUCUUCAAAUCUUGAUUUAAAGGCUUCAAGUUACAGAGAAUCCAGAAGCAAGCUAACAGUAGGGCUAGGAUUGAUCAAUACAUGGGGUGAAGGGGUGUAGUAGGGUGAGGGAGCUCCACUUCCCUGACCUACCAAAGACUGCUUCUGGUAUGGAAAUUUGGUCAGGGAAGCAAUCACAUACCAUACCAACUCCUCUAGUUGGCUUCUACACUGCUGGACAUGCAGCCUGUUUCCGUGAAGGUUAAUUGGCAAGGGUUAUUUGGUUUAUUCCAGGAUUUUCCUUUAGUAGAAGGGGUUGCUUAAAAUCCAUUGUGUAGUGGAGCCCUCUGGGACUGUGACCAGAGACCCUCUGCUGAUUUUCCUUUGGGUUCAUCUAAGAGAGUUACAAGCACUUUAAAAUGUGUAUAUACACCAUCUGGCCUAUUGUACUCCUGUGCCCCACUACUCCCCAUCCACAGAUGGACAGACACACACACACACACUCAGUAUACUUAUAAUUCUGCAAGUAGACACCACUGCACAUAACCUGAUCACUUGCAGGGUGCCGUUAGACAAAGAGAUUGAACAAACAUUUUAGCGAAAGGCCUGGGGAAAAGCAAGAAACAAUCCACCCCUUGCUGUGAGAAACGUGGCCCAAAGAAAAUCACCAGCCCACACACAAUGGUUUUUCUGACUGUGAGACUGGCAGGAGAUUUUGGAUUGUGAGAUCAGGCAGGCGCCUGCUGCAGAAAUUAGAUAAGCCAAACUGAAGUGAUGAUUUGCUGCUGCAUUCAGAUCAUCGCAUAUUAAACAAACAACACAGCAUUGAACAGUAAUGGUCCAGCACACAAGGAGCAAAAAACCUCCUCUGGGGUAAAAACAAAGUGGAAGGCACUCUGUCCCUUUACAUUAGCCCAGAAGAUGUCUCUCUCUGGUCUUGAUUCUUCUCUUACACUUGUGUAAAUUAUCAGUAAUGUUGGCUGUUACCCCAGGGCAACACUGGUAUGAAAGAGAGAGAGGGGAGAAUCAGGCCAGCAGAUACAAGAGGAUUUGGGCCAUGGCUGUACAAUACUACAGUAUUUUUUUAAUAUGGAUUUUCAUAAAUCCCAGAAGGAAUUCCACAGCAUCCAUUGUUACCCUUUAUGUGUUUGGUCGUAAAGUGGAAGCUAACUGACUCCAAAUCCCCUUCUUCAAAAACUCAACCAUGUUCUGCAGUGUUUUGGGGCUAUUGGUCUAGAAUACUUGAGUAUUUUUUAGAAGGCUCAAUCUGGAAUUAUUGUCAUAUGUUUGUGGGGCUUCUAAAACACAGUUCAGUCCUGGCUGCCACGAGCUGCUACUUGGGAGAAUCUCUGCUUUGAAAUGGGGAAUGCAAAUCAGACUUCUUUGCUGACUUAGCUUAUGCUGCGCCCGCUGCUCUAGCAGCUCAUGCUAAGGACAGGAGCCUGGAGCUGCCAGAAAUGUUUCUUGGGAUCUAUUUGUAAUUGUCUAAAGGCUCUAGCCCAUUUUCUCCGGACCGCUUUUCAGCAGCCACGCCUGGGACAGCGGCUUUUACGGCAUCAGGGUCUCACACCUUCGCCACACGGCACAUCCCAUCUGAAUGUUUCUUUUUUAAAAACACAAAUGUUACCUAUGUGUAGGCUUUUGAGAGCACCUGUCUGUCUGUCUCUGUUUCCUGCUGUAAAUAUCCUUCCGAGCAGCUUCCUUUGGGAACAGCGGUGUGGUCACACCUAGCAAAGAAUCCAAAUGGCUAAUAUUUUGUAACAAAAAUAGACCAGAAGUAUUUUAUCUGUCCAAUUCAUAGAGUUUUAGAAAUUAUAUUGAGAUAUGUCA